ensembl:lncRNA
UGCUAUGCCUCCAAACCACAAGGGUAAAACAGUGAUGGGGCAUUGCCUAUUGAACGUCUGCCUGUUUUACAACUGAACUGUGGGGUGUCUGCAAAAAAAUUAAGUAAGGACUCGUUUGGAUAAAGUUUAGUCCCAUUUAGAGCAGGCCCACUGAAAUCCAUGGGAUUUCAUCACGAUUAACAAUUCAUGGACCGAUUUCCGCGAGUCUGUUCCACGCGCGAGUUAAGGCUGCAUCCAACUCAGCACGCUUUAAUUUAUUGGGGCCGUUUAUAAUCAUCCGUCGUUAGUAAACUGCAGAUUGUCCUUUUUCGCAGUCACUACCAUCUUCCCCAUAAUACCAUAUAGCCCUGUGCAUACAUUUAUUCGUGUAUGGGUCUGUACGACGGAGGAGAAUAAUACUGCAUGCCUCUGGAGGAGUAGACCCUACCUGCCCAAAAGCUUAUGUUAACGCAAAUAAAUCUGCUCGUGCUUCACGGUGCCAGUUCACCAGACCACCGCCUCUGAAAAAAAAAAGGCCCCUGCCUCCUUGGACUAUGUCGCAGGCUGCACGGCCGCCUCGAGACCUGGGCGGAAAUGGCGGGAAACAGCGGCCGAGGUCUGUGCGCGUGGGGGGGGAGACCUGGAGACUAAAGGUAAGGCGGAGAGGUGCGGAAAAGCGAACCGUUCUCUCAGCCAGGGGGCGGGGCUGAAGGCCGGGGGCGGGGUUUCCUGGCCCCGCCUCCCGCCGCUCGCCUAACAUUUCGAGCCUUUUUUUCUCCCCCCCUCCUCCCCGCCCCCAAACAAACCCGCGCUCUCUCUCGUCCUUCUUCAAUGUGUGCGCCGAGGGUGGCUCAGGCAAAGGCUGCAGGGGACGCUUGUGGGGCUGGAGUCGUGCAAGGGAGAGGCAGAACAAAGCUCUGUCACAACUGUGCUUCCUGGUUGUCGCCUCCUGCCUGCAAGCGGCUGAACGUCGUCGUCCCCCCCCUUCGUAUCAUCAUCAUGCAGAAGGGGAUGAGCCAGACGCAAUGAGAGAUUCAGGUUUUGGAAGCAGAAGCCCUGCCAGUAAGGUUGGAAAAGUUUUUUUUUUUAAAAUAUUAUUUGUGUGCAGUCAACACCAUUUGACUUCAGGAGCUGACCCUCGCACCGAUGUGCCACUCCCAAUGUAGAUUUGCAGUUCCUCUUAUCCUCAAAGGCAAGGCUCUUGGGACUGGAGCUACGUCUGUGUGGCUGCAACUGCCAAAGGCAUUUGCCGUACUGAACUCCUCAGUAAAUGACAGAGCAGCGGAGGCAGCAGUCUCGCAACACUACCCGGUUGGAAGCAGACUGCUCUUCUUCAGCAUUGCAGUCCGUGAUUCUGUUGCAGUUUGAUGUGGCUGCAGAUAGAAUGUGGGCUUGCUUCUGUUUAAUACCAGACUGAGAGACCUAUUUUGGGAAGGGGGGGGGAGAAUAGAAAUUGCCUGCCAGAGAAGGGGAAAACAGGUGAGUGACUAGAUUGCUGUUUUGAUUCUUGCCUGGACUGAGCUUUUGUCACCUUUUCCCAUUUCCACAGCAACGACUCCCAGAAACCUGUGCUAGGUUUUUGGCACACCUGCUUCUCUUGUUGAACUGCAGCUGGCAACAGUUAUACUUCAUGUUUCUGUGUUUACUUUCCUACCCCCCCAAGAGCCUUCAACAUAUUUUGUACUUUCUCUGCCUUUGGAAUAUUUCACCUGCAGCCUUGUUUUUUUAAGAAUAUUGAUUCUACAAAGGCGUGAGCGAUACCUGUAGUACUAAAUCCUAGAGCAAAUACGAACUGGUUCUCUGAGUGUGACAGAGAUGUUCAGCCUGUAUUACUCCAGUUUCUCUCUCUCUCUCUCUCUCUCUCUCUCUCUCUCUCUGUGUGUGUGUGUGUGUGUAUCUGUGUCUGCAAAGAAAGGCAUGCAGGUUUGAAUAAAAUCUGGGGAAUGAAGGUGAAUUGUGCUUUU